GGGCAACGGCCCACCAAGGGCGACGAUCGUUAGCUGAUGUGAGAGCAUGGUCAGCCACACGGGCACUGAGACACGGGCCCGACUCCUACGGGAGGCAGCAGUAAGGAAUAUUGGUCAAUGGGCGCAGGCCUGAACCAGCCAUGCCGCGUGGAGGACGAAGGCCCUCCGGGUCGUAAACUCCUUUUACCCGGGACGAAAAAAGCCCUUUUGAGGGCACUUGACGGUACCGGGGGAAUAAGCACCGGCUAACUCCGUGCCAGCAGCCGCGGUAAUACGGAGGGUGCGAGCGUUAUCCGGAUUCACUGGGUUUAAAGGGUGCGCAGGCGGGCUUUUAAGUCAGCGGUGAAACCCGCGGGCUCAACCCGCGGACUGCCGAUGAUACUAGGGGCCUUGGAUGUCGCUGAGGGCAGCGGAAUGGGGCAUGUAGCGGUGAAAUGCAUAGAUAUGCCCCGGAACACCGAUUGCGGAGGCAGCUGCCUAAAGGACGAUCGACGCUGAGGCACGAAAGCGUGGGUAGCGAACAGGAUUAGAUACCCUGGUAGUCCACGCCCUAAACGAUGAUUACUCGACGUCCGCGGCAUAC
rnacentral:rRNA from 1 species